rnacentral:rRNA from 1 species
AAGUCGCACGAGAAAAGGGCUUCGGCCCCGAGUAAAGUGGCGGACGGGUGAGUAACACGUGGGUAAUCUACCUUUCAGCGGGGGAUAACAGUCCGAAAGGAUUGCUAAUACCGCGUACGUCGGCGAGGUCUUCGGACCUUGUCGGGAAAGCCGGCCUCUCCAUGGAAGCUGGCGCUGGAAGAGGAGCCCGCGUCCCAUCAGCUAGUUGGUAGGGUAACGGCCUACCAAGGCAAAGACGGGUAGCUGGUCUGAGAGGAUGAUCAGCCACACUGGGACUGAGACACGGCCCAGACUCCUACGGGAGGCAGCAGUGGGGAAUAUUGGGCAAUGGGCGCAAGCCUGACCCAGCCACGCCGCGUGAGUGAUGAAGGCCUUCGGGUCGUAAAGCUCUGUGGGGAGGGACGAAACCACGCUGGCUAAUAUCCAGCGGUCUGACGGUACCUCCUUAGCAAGCACCGGCUAACUCCGUGCCAGCAGCCGCGGUAAUACGGAGGGUGCAAACGUUGCUCGGAAUCAUUGGGCGUAAAGCGCACGUAGGCGGUCCAGCAAGCGGGGAGUGAAAUCCCUCGGCUUAACCGAGGAAGUGCUUUCCGAACUACUGGACUUGAAUACUGAAGAGGAUCGCGGAAU